CAGUAGCCACGGGAAUACGAAGGGGGCUAGCGUUGUUCUGAAUUACUGGGCGUAAAGCGCACGUAGGCGGAUAUUUAAGUCAGGGGUGAAAUCCCGCAGCUCAACUGCGGAACUGCCUUUGAUACUGGGUAUCUUGAGUAUGGAAGAGGUUAGUGGAAUUGCGAGUGUAGAGGUGAAAUUCGUAGAUAUUCGCAGGAACACCAGUGGCGAAGGCGGCUAACUGGUCCAUAACUGACGCUGAGGUGCGAAAGCGUGGGGAGCAAACAGGAUUAGAUACCCCAGUAGUCCCUGUCUCUUAUAC
rnacentral:rRNA from 1 species